rnacentral:rRNA from 1 species
UUGAUCCUGGCUCAGAAUCAACGCUGGCGGCGUGCCUAACACAUGCAAGUCGAGCGAGAGAAAGUAGCAAUACUUUAGUAAAGCGGCGCACGGGUGAGUUACACGUGGAUAACCUGCCUCGAAGUGGGGAAUAACCCCGGGAAACCGGAUCUAAUACCGCAUAAUCUGACGAGAUCUGUGGAUUUUGUCAGCAAAGGAGUAAUUCGCUUUGAGAGGGGUCCGCGGCUGAUUAGCUAGUUGGUGAGGUAAUGGCUCACCAAGGCCACGAUCAGUAGCCGGUCUGAGAGGACGGUCGGCCAUACUGGAACUGAGACACGGUCCAGACUCCUACGGGAGGCAGCAGUGGGGAUUUUUUCGCAAUGGGGGCAACCCUGACGAAGCAACGCCGCGUGGGUGAUGUAGUAUUUCGGUACGUAAAACCCUUUCGACGGGGACGAAACCGCAAGGUUUACGGUACCCGUAGAAGAGGCCCCGGCUAACUCCGUGCCAGCAGCCGCGGUAAUAAGGU